GUGGAGCACCUACAAUUAUAUUUAAUGCAUCAUCUCCAAAAUGAUCAACACAAAAUCACCGUAGAAAAGAGAGAGCUCUGGGAAUACAAGUAGUAUCCAGCUGAAGAUCUGACACCUGAUUACAAAUACAGAUACAACUGCAGCAUGGUUUUCAACACCACAGAAGUAAUUUGCCUCUAUCUAGGAUUUUGAAACUACUAAACAAUGAUACCCAAGCAAUUUGAAUGCUCAUUAAAUUUUAAGAAGAACUGCUCUAUUGACUAUACCUGAAGUACUUCUUCAACGGUCCCUUGGAUUGUUAAAAACGAUCAGCAUUAGUUUUAAGAAAAUGGAAUAUGGUAAACUGUGAUGUAUGCAAGAUGUUAAAACCAAGUGAACAAGUGUGGUCUCCAACCCAUCUCCAGCCGAAGAGCUCCUG